GAUCCUGGCUCAGGACGAACGCUGGCGGCGCGCCUAACACAUGCAAGUCGAACGAGAGAGAAGGAGCUUGCUUCUUCGAUCGAGUGGCGAACGGAUGAGUAACGCGUGAGGAACCUGCCUCAAAGAGGGGGACAACAGUUGGAAACGACUGCUAAUACCGCAUAAGCCCAUGGGUCGGCAUCGACCUGAGGGAAAAGGAGUAAUCCGCUUUGAGAUGGCCUCGCGUCCGAUUAG
rnacentral:rRNA from 1 species